rnacentral:rRNA from 1 species
AGGGUGUAAACGCUGCGGGCUUGGUGUUGGGGGUCCUUUGAGGGCGCCCAGUGCCGGAGAGAAGUUGUUAAGCCUGCUGCUUGGGGAGUACGUCCGCAAGGAUGAAACUUAAAGGAAUUGGCGGGGGAGCACCGCAACGGGAGGAGCGUGCGGUUCAAUUGGAUUCAACGCCGGACAACUCACCAGGAGCGACGGUUACAUGAAGGCCGAGAUGAAGACUCUGCUAGAUUUUCAGAGAGGAGGUGCAUGGCGUCAGUGACU